GCUUACCUUAAGUGAGCAGAAUUUAUAUCUCCAAUUCUUCAAACUUUGCUUGAUUUAUUUACUCCCAAUCUUCUUAUCAAAGCUCAAACACAAGUUUUAGUUAAGGGAUGUAGGGAUUUCAUGGCAAAAUUUAGGGUUUAAGAGAACUUUAGGUGGGCUUCAAUGGAGGUUUUAUGAGAGAAAUGAGAGAGAUGGGAGAGAGAGAGGGUAGACUGCUUGAAGAUAGGAAGGAAGGCCAAAUUUUUUUCUUUUCUUAAUUUAUCUUUUAAUUGUUAGAAAUUAUCCCAAAAUUUCAAAUUUUAAAAAUAAAAAUUUAUUGCAUCAUGCUUAUGUCACCACAUGAUGUCAUUACCUUUUUAACUUUUUCAUUUUUCUUUUUUUUUAUUAAUUCUUUAAUUUAAUUCUCGAUUC
rnacentral:misc_RNA from 1 species